AAUAGGGGCUUGCAGACCACCAGUAAGGAUCUCCUUUGGUUACCUGAGAAGACAUCACGAAAGAUGAAAUGGCAUCAAGAGUUUGCAAUCAUUCUCCAGAUGCACUCUGCUACAUAUAUGAUCAAUUCAUCAAGCCAAGAGCAAAGAAGUUCUCUGGGACAGCAUCUGGAAAAAUUUGUGAAGCUUACAAAGCAUUUGCUGUGCCAGUUGGGGACCAAGGCAAGACCUGGGUACCUCAUUCUGCUUGUGAGCAUUGUAAGAGAAGACUAUAAGGUAAAAUAGCUGUUAGUUUUCCAAGAGUAAAAUUCAAUUAAAAAUUAAUAAUAAAGAUAAAAAUGUAACAGAAACUCAUUGGGGAUGGUGGGGUAAGACGGACCCAUGGGCUGAAAUGGAACCCCCCCAUCUAAUCUCAAGUAGAAAGGAAGAGGUUUCAAAAUUUGAUUCCUAGAUGCCCUUCACGUCACUCAACAACGACGUCAUUGCCGGCAGCAGGCAUGGUGAGUUCCCCUUGUGCUUCUGAGUUGGAGGUUCGUCCUUUUACAUAGUGCUGAUGUUAUAUGUGCAAGCCAGAGAUGACUCAUAAAUAUGUACGAGUUAGUAGCAGAGGGGAAUGGACUGAGGCAGCUAUGGAAAGUGCAAUAGCUGCAGUUAGAGGAAAAAGGAAUUAAUUUUGCAACCGCACUGUAGUCACCGAAUGCAACCAUUGGAUGUUUCCUUCAUGAAAUUGGUGAAUGCCUACAAUGUGAAGGCUGUUGAAUCAUUCUUCAGAAAGAAUCCUGGCAGGUGACCGUCUACAAACUAAGUGGAUUAUUCGGAGAGGCGUAUCUACAGGCUGUUGUUCCAAAUACAGCUUUCGAUGGUUAUAAGAAAACAGGAUUUUUUUCAAUUGAACAGCCAGGUUUUUGGCGAAGCUAUUUACCUGCCCACCCAACAGAUAUUCCAUUCGAAGGUGAGCAAGAAGAGGAAGAUCUAGCUAGACGAACCAGUUGUCCCUCCAAUCAUGGCCCUGGAGAAUGAAUAUGACUUGGAAGCUGUUGAGCCAGAAAAUUUCAGUGUUUUAGUGCCAAAAAUUGCUUGGAGACUGUUCAAGUCAGGUAGUUCACCCCAGGACGUAAUUCCCUUGCCAAAGUUGGCCACAACUGUACAAAAAAGAAGAGAGCCAGGCCCCAAAGGCGACCUCUUGUUUUGACAGCAUUUUCAUAUAAAACAGAGUUAGAAUCAGAAAUUCAAAAGAAAAAGACUUUGCUAUAACACAGAAAUGUCAAAAGAGAGAAGGCGAGAAGAAGAAGAAACUAGCAAUGUCUGCAUCAAACAGACAACCUAACAAAAAGACGACAAAACAAAAAAGCAAAGCAAGAAAAAAAGCUGGAUCAUUCUGGUUCCAAGACAGUGAUAGUAACAGUGAAGAUGGAGUCAACUGAAUGUUUGUACUGUAUUGAUACAUUUGGCAGUUCUGUGAGAGGAGAAGGGUGGGUUUGUUGUGCUAUUUGCAAACGUUGGGCUCAUGACCAAUGUGCAGGGAUAGAUGAUGAUGAGGAAGAGGUUUUUGUGUGUGAUUUGUGCCAGUAAGGAUUUGCUAUUUCAUUUCAGUUUGAGGGGUAAGAUGGACCCCUGGGCUCCAUCUUACCCCGUCAUUUUGUUUUUGGUCCAAUAAAACUUGAUUUUGUAA